CUACAAUGGAAAGCAUCCCACGGUACCACAUCUGAGCUUGUCUGAUCUGUGGACCAGCUGAAAGGGCUCUUAAUCCAGACCCAGCUACUGCAGGUUUGCUUUUGCCAUGGCAACCAUCAGAAUGAUGCUAAUCCUUCUUCCACUGCUGUGUUUCACUGUCAAAACUCAGAAGCAAUGUUCGCUAAGCUGUUAUGUUGACUACAAUCAUACAAUGGAUUGCAUGUGGAAGGAGAAAAACAACAACAGCCAC